UGGGGAAUAUUGGACAAUGGGCGCAAGCCUGAUCCAGCCAUGCCGCGUGUGUGAAGAAGGCCUUAUGGUUGUAAAGCACUUUAAGCGAGGAGGAGGCUCUUCUAGUUAAUACCUAGGAUGAGUGGACGUUACUCGCAGAAUAAGCACCGGCUAACUCUGUGCCAGCAGCCGCGGUAAUACAGAGGGUGCGAGCGUUAAUCGGAUUUACUGGGCGUAAAGCGUGCGUAGGCGGCUGAUUAAGUCGGAUGUGAAAUCCCUGAGCUUAACUUAGGAAUUGCAUUCGAUACUGGUCAGCUAGAGUAUGGGAGAGGAUGGUAGAAUUCCAGGUGUAGCGGUGAAAUGCGUAGAGAUCUGGAGGAAUACCGAUGGCGAAGGCAGCCAUCUGGCCUAAUACUGACGCUGAGGUACGAAAGCAUGGGGAGCAAACAGG
rnacentral:rRNA from 1 species